rnacentral:lncRNA from 1 species
CCGAGGAUACGAGAUGUUACAGACGACAGAGAAAAAGAGAGGGGGAGAGAGACUCUAUCGUCCCAAUUCUGGAGCGCUUUGUCUCGACCAGCUUUCACGCCGAUCAAAAUGGAGGCGCCACUCCCCACCAUCUCCCCACCACUCCGCACUUCUUCCAACCCCAACAUUGCACACUGCUCUCUCUCUCUCUCUCUCUCUCUCUCUCUCUCUCUCUCUCUC